AAUCAAUUUCAUAGUUCAAUAGUUUUGGGAUUCCAAUAACAAGUGAUAAUAAUUUGUGGUCACGAAAUCACAAGUCAAGAAAGGUACGAUCGGUUUCAGUAUAAGAGUGACCACAAUUCAGGAUCGUAUAACAAUUGAUGAAGAUGUAUCUCAAUCAACAAUAGUCUACGGUUAAAAUUGAAUCCGUAGUUGUAUAGCUCGAAAGACAAGUGGUUUCAAAGGAUCAAUGAGAAGUCAAGCUAUGAAUGAUCCAUCAAUUCUCAGUAGGUACGAAACGAGUGAUUUAAUGGAUAAAUAGAAUAAUCCUAAAUGGUCCAAUAGUCGGGAAAAGAACGAUUUACAUUUAUUGAAC
rnacentral:lncRNA from 1 species